CGGAGUCUUGCUUGGUCGCCCAGGCUGGAGUGCAGUGGCGCGAUCUUGGCUCACUGAAAGCUCUGCCUCCCGGGUUCACACCAUUCUCCUACCUCAGCCUCCCAAGUAGCUGGGACUACAGGCACCCGCCACCAUGCCCAGCUAAUUUUUUUGUAUUUUUAGUAGAGACAGGGUUUCACCAUGUUAGCCAGGAUGGUCUCGAUCUCCUGACCUCUUGAUCCACCUGCCUUGGCCUCCCAAAGUGCUGGGAUUACAGGCGUGAGCCACCAUGCCUGGCCUAUUCUUCUUUUAAGGACCUCCUUUUUUCUACACACGAAAUGGAUGCCCAGGUGCACUGCUCACAGCAUUUUCUGUUGAGAGGAUUUCUCCUGCCAGUCAUUUAGGGCCAAUCCUGAGUGGGGCUGUAAGGAAGCUGCAGUCCAUUUUUGGCUUGUACCACAUGCCAUGCUGAUCCAUCUGUGAGCCACACCUGGCCUUUUUCCUCCCCAAUCAACUGGUCAUAAGGAAUCACCCAACCUCAUGCAGCCAGAGGCAUGAGUUCAGGAGAGGCAAUGAUACAAAAACAGUGGUGAGUUCAGUGGAGGUUUGGAGAUUUGGGCCAUUGGCCCAUGCAGCUUUCUGAUGCUCUGACUUUGUUUGGGCCUCCCUGGAUGUACUACUUCCAUCUCAAAAUAUGGUGCUGCGGGUCUCUCCAGAUAUAUGAUUUGGUCUAACAGAACCAAGCUCAUAACAGGCAGUCUGCCUGAAGGAUCACUUCAUGUGUCAUGGACAGUUGCUUCAUCUCUCUAGGGUCUAGAAACUUUCUAUAAAUUGUUUCUCAAACACAUAAUUCCCUGCUAUAGAUGGCAUUGACCUCACUCCUAAACUCUAAGGGUCUGUAUUGUGAUUCUUUUAUUUGAGAUUCCAUAAACAUCAUGUGGCAACUUUUGACUCCACAGACACCUCUAAUUCCAUAGGGUCUGUUGGAUUAUAAAGCCCAAUUAUCAGCAUAGCUUGAACCUCAGCCUGGACCUGCUAUAGAGCUCUUUCCAGUUCUGGGUACUCCAGAGUUACAGCUGGUGGGAGAGUGGUAUUCCCCAGUGUGGAAUAUGCUGCUUUCAGACCUUGAGGCCCACCAGGCAUUGUGCUUCCUUCUUAGUGGUAGGAGGUGCAAGAUGCAACAAUCUGUGCUUUACUUUGAAGAUGUUCCAUUGUGCUCCAGAUCACUGGACCCUUAAAAACUUACCUAUUGUGGCAGGUCUCUGAAUCUUUGUUGGGUUUAUCUCCCACCCUCUAGAACAUGUGUCUCAUGAAGGCCUUCAACUCACUUGCCACAUCUUGUUCAUCUGUCUGAUGAAUGUGAAGUCAUUAAUAUAGUUGGCCAAUGUGAUAUUUGCAGGGAUGUCUAGAUUGUCCAGGUCUCUUCAGCCUGGCUUGCUGCCACCAAAGACUGUGCUUCCACAAAUUCUCCAACAAAUCUCCGCCUUACAACACUCAUUGACUUCCUGACCUUUGUUGCAGCUCAAGCAGCUGGUCCUCUGCCUUGUCUCUGUAACUUAUCCUUUGCUUUGCAUCUCAGUUCUGCCAAUGGUGCCUCUGUCUGACUCAGUUUCCCAGCCUUCUUCUUUGGGGCCAGCCUGUCUGCAGACAGCACAAGCCCUGCUUCCCUUUCUUCCCUGUGAUGAAAUAGACCUGGUGCCCAUGCAGGAGGCCCAGCGUGGCCCACUGUUGCUGUGAAUGGGGAUAGGUCCUCCUGAUUUUGGGGUUCAGUAUUAGGAAGCUCCCUCACCUCCAGACACCAGCCAAAUCCUUCAAUAGGAGCAUUAUCAAUAAGAAAGAUGAUGUUUUGCCUCUGCUGCCUGAUUCCUGUCUGUCAAUUGAAUUCAAA
rnacentral:lncRNA from 1 species